AUAAUACUCCAUAGAUUAUGGAAUCUGGAAUGAUCCAUAGUCGAAAGUUCCGGCGCUUAAGGAUCGGUCUGCGGCCUAUCAGGUAGUAGUGGGUGUAACGUACCUACUAGCCUAUGACGGGUAUGGGCCUUGAGAGAGGGAGCCCAGAGUUGGAUUCUGAGACACAAAUCCAGGCCCUACGGGGCGCAGCAGUCGCGAAAACUUCACAAUGGGGGCAACCCCGAUGAGGGAAUUCCUAGUGCUAUCACAAUUGUGUUAGCUUUUCUCUAGCGUAGAUAACUAGAGGAAUAAGGGCUGGGAAAGACGGGUGCCAGCCGCCGCGGUAAUACCUGCAGCCCAAGUGGUGGUCGAUUUUAUUGAGUCUAAAACGUUCGUAGCCGGUUCGAUAAAUCUUUGGUUAAAUUGGGGGGCUUAACCUUCCGUCUUCCGAGGAGACUGUCGAACUUGGGACCGGGAGAGGCUAGAGGUACUUCUGGGGUAGGGGUAAAAUCCUGUAAUCCUAGAAGGACCACCGGUGGCGAAGGCGUCUAGCUAGAACGGAUCCGACGGUGAGGGACGAAGCCCUGGGUCGCAAACGGGAUUAGAUACCCCGGUAGUCCAGGGUGUAACGCUGCAGACUUGGUGU
rnacentral:rRNA from 1 species